rnacentral:rRNA from 1 species
AGUGAACGCUGGCGGUAGGCCUAACACAUGCAAGUCGAACGGCAGCACAGUAAGAGCUUGCUCUUACGGGUGGCGAGUGGCGGACGGGUGAGGUAUACAUCGGAAUCUACUUUUUCAUGGGGGAUAACGUAGGGAAACUUACGCUAAUACCGCAUACGACCUACGGGUGAAAGCAGGGGAUCUUCGGACCUUGCGCGAUUGAAUGAGCCGAUGUCGGAUUAGCUAGUUGGCGGGGUAAAGGCCCACCAAGGCGACGAUCCGUAGCUGGUCUGAGAGGAUGAUCAGCCACACUGGAACUGAGACACGGUCCAGACUCCUACGGGAGGCAGCAGUGGGGAAGAUUGGACAAUGGGCGCAAGCCUGAUCCAGCCAUACCGCGUGGGUGAAGAAGGACUUCGGGUUGUAAAGCCCUUUUGUUGGGAAAGAAAAGCAGCAGGUUAAUACCCCGCUGUUCUGACGGUACCCAAAGAAUAAGCACCGGCUAACUUCGUG